UCACAACAUCACGAGAGGCCCGGUUCGCCGGGUCCGGCAACCUGGGACGGACACCCAAGGUGCUCAUCCACCGGAGACGGUGGGGAUGUGGCCCGAGAGGGCAACGAAGUGUCCGCCGG
rnacentral:ncRNA from 1 species